UUUGGUCACCCAUCUGUGUAACCAGAGGCAGAAAGGAACCACUUGGUUUAGAACACAAGGCAGAGGCAUAAGGUGGGGAGAGUCCCCAAAGCUGCUCCCUGGUUUCAUCUAGGCCCUCGUCUUUCACAUUUAGUGAUGGAAUUCUCCCUGUCAGAGCCAUGGUUUUCAUAACCCUAAAACCAGAGCUGUGCGGCCUCAGGGUGGGCAGCAGAGAUUCCUGUGGCAGCUUCUUCUGAGCCCUGGUGGAUGGGAGGACAGACGGCAAGGGGGGUGGAAAGGGACAACUCCAGCCCUCACUAGUGACUUGGGGGUGGAGUGAGGAUACAAUUCUCAUGUCCUUUAUGGGUGAGUUUCUCAAAGCUCAACUCUGGCUGAAACUACGGAGCCAAACCAAAUCCCUGCCUUGUGGGAAGCGAUGAUUUAGCCACUUUCAGCUUUUGUUCAAACCCUCCUGAAAGGGAGCCGCCCUGUACCACACGGAACUUCAGGGAAGCGCAUGCCCUCCCCAGAAAUGACAAAUGGAAAAGACAGAACGGUCUCCGGCCAGGCCAGGAUACAGUCUCUGGAAAGAGAAACUUCCGUACCCUCUUCCUGUGUCCCUACAAAAGCCUGGACAAUGCCGUCCCAGCCCUGCUGCAGAACAUGGGCAGGCCCCACCUUCCUCCUUCCUGCGGGGAUAUCCUUUCCUAUAGAAGAGGUAAGAAUGUAAGGUUCAUGUGAAAAUGUGAUUAUAUUCCUUAUCUCAGUCAUUUCACGAUUUGCUGUUUGGCGACAAUAAGUCAGCCUGGCCACAUUCACAAUAGAGGUGGCCCCGGUUCCUAGUUUUGGCUUGUGCUGUUUUCUCAGCUGAAGAGGGCAACCGGCUGUUAAAAACGCUGCCUGUUUUCCAGGAUCUUAUCAGGAGUUCAUGUCUAAGGCCAGAAAGAGAAGGGAGGGCUCCAUUUUUUUCCUCUCUCCUCAUUGUUUCCAACUGAAUUGGCAGGAAAUGGGAGUCCUCCACCUGUCCCUCUCGGGAGCAAAAUUGAUUCGAUUCCAUUUUUCAGAUGUAUCCGCUACCACCAGAAGUUGGGGACAUUUCCGCUCACCCCAAAACGAAUGCAUUCCUGGAUUGACAUAAAUGACAUCUUUCAGAAUUGCGAAUUAAUCACAUUUAAAUGGGGAUCUUUGGGGUGGGGGAGUGGUGUCAAUUGCCCCACAGAAUCUCAGGUUUGCUUUUUGUUCUCGUUCACCCUUUGGUGAAGUGCCUUUUGGGGCUGUGAGGCUUGACUGACUUCAACAAGUUUGUGUGAAUGUGGUGUGUGUUUGUGUGUAGUGUGUGUAGUUUGCAUGUACCAUCGAUGGCGUGGACACUCAGAGAACUGAAAUCCUUCGCGCAGGGUCUCACAUAAAUCGAAACUGUUCCCUUUCACAGCUGCCUUAGAGCAUAUGUUUCAGGCAGGGUAAUACAGGAUCCAGACAGAAGCUAAGUCCAUGUCCAUUUCUCAAGACUCAUAGUGUGUUUGUGGUUGACCUAGUAUUUUCCACUUAACCCAGUUCAGCCAAUUCAGCCAAUUUGAACCAAAAUCACAGUCCGUCUAGAUGCUUUAUUUCAUCUAAAAACAACCCCAGAUGAUUCUAUUUUGAGGGGAUCAAUCAUUUUACUACCUAGAGGAAAAGCUUAAACAUAGGAAUUAUAUAAACCACAGUAUUCCAUAAACAGGAGGACCUUCCUACUCAAUGUCAACACUUCAUCUUGGAUCUUAGACUCAGAAACCGGGCAGUUACUAGAAGGAGCCCUGAAACAAUCCAUUUCCAACUACCCUCAAGAGCACAAGAAGCAGAAACAGCAUUUUGAUUCCACCCUAGCAGGGUCCUGGUUUUCCCAGGUCACAUUAUCCUCAAUCUAGGGUCCCGGCUAAGAUCAAAGAUUAUGCUUCUGCCCCAUCUUGUUUAGGAACUCCAGCUCCUCACACCCACUGCAACCAUGGUGGCUGCCUGUGGCUCUUCUGCUGUGUGAGGAUAUUUGCAGGCAGGGCAAAAUGUUCCAGACUCCUUCCUCCCUGAGGUAUCUGUGCUCCCAGACCUCCUGCUUCUUGACCCCCUGGGCUGCAUUUGAUGGGAGCCACCCGCCUCUGCCCCACUCAUGCUCAUCCUUAGGUACCCAACUGAUGUUCCAAAUAUGGAAGUCAGUAGAUAGGCCAAAAGCCACAUAGAUAGAAAGGGUGUUUCCAUGCAAGUGAGACAACCAACUUAAAAUCAGCCUCUCCGAAAUGAGACCUGUGGGAGAAAAAUAUUUUAACAUCCUUGUAUUGUAUGAACCAAUGCUUUCCUUCAACCCCAACGUUUCCUUUCUCUCCUUGGUGCUUGCCCAGGUCCCUAUGCCCUUUGAAGCAGUUGGGCUCUUCUGCACCGACUGCCUCAGAGAAAGGAUGUAACAAUGGAAAACAGAACCGGGAAAAGAAUUCCUGACUUUUGAAUUUCAAAAGCUUAGUUCAUUAGGGAAAUGGAAAAGACUCAGAAAGGAUUAAACACUGGGCAGAAGUAUUGCGAGUGAGAACCAAAUUCCUUGCUAGCUCUACCACCUGAGCUUCAAGGACUGUAGAUAUCCAGUAGGGAUGGGAACUGAUGGGGACGGGGGCGAGAGGGUCAGAUCUGAAGAAACUCCAGGGGCAUGAGGCAGACCCAGCAUCCAUGGACAACCCAAUAUCCACUCACAUGAGCCUGUGCACCACCCACGCAUCGGGGCUGCACUGGUUGUCUUGUCCUUUGGCAUCCAGUGAGGACCUCCCAGGAUGGCUGUUGGCAUUUUUCUCACUGACCAUUUAGCAGGAAUAACAACUGUCUUUGCCUCCAAACCUGGCUAUGUUUCAGUUGAGAAGACUGAUUCCAUGCAGUCAACCUAAUAUGC
ensembl:lncRNA